UGUUUUUUAACCACUUUCUUUCGUAUUGUUUAUUACUUUUGGUGUUAUCUCCCGUAGUUGUCAUGAGCUAUUUUUUAACCCAAAUUUGAGGAUGUAGGUCAAGCUGAACCAAAGGCAUUUACAUCAUAUUAGGAAUUUGUUGGUCAAGCACCUGCUGUACAUAGAACAACAAUCCAUUACAGCUUUGACUAUGCCGAGAAGGUCUUCUACCCAUACUAGGCACAGCAAGAGUGCCCUGCUUUGAAGUGUUCUGUCAAUCAUAUGGUUCACAGAUAUCUCAGUGAUAAGGGUUUAGCUGUUAUGUGGCCAAUGGUGUGGUACCUCAUUUUCAACAUCAUCCAUAUAGAGAAGACUCUGCAUACCUGCACAUUGACAACUGUGUUGGGUGGAAUAACAAGAGGGCCAAAUGGCCCUGAAUCGCUCACCUGUCAUAUAUUGCACAUUGGUUUGAUAAGAAAUCUGGAUGGUUCAAAGUAGUUAAGUUUUUUUAGAAGUCUGGGUCAUUUUUUACCCCAAUGCCAAAGUUUGGACAAUAAAGGUAGAGGUCCACUUAAUGAUGUAUUAUGCCAAAUAGCUCUAGUCCUUGUGAAUUCGGAGAGAAUUUUUUUUUUAUGCUUCUAUUAUAUACAAAUAUUGAAAACCUAAGCCUAUUAACACGGGGCGUGGCCAAUUUUGACCCCAGGGCUAAAGUUUGAACAAUCUUAAUAGUGGUCCAAUAAAUGAUGCUUCAUACCAAAUAUCUAAGGCCUUCGCCUUUUGGUUUCGGAGAAGAAGUUUUCAUCAUAUACAUAUAUAAGGAAACCCAUGACCGCCCGGGUGGGGCCAUUUUUUGACCCCAGGGCCAAAGAUUGAACAAUAUUGGUACAAGUCAACUAGAUGAUAUAUCAUGCCAAAUAUCUAAGCUCUUGUCACUACUUGAUUUUACGUGUGUAUCUAUAUAUGUAUAUUUGUUAUUAAUUGUUGUAUGUGGCCCAUAUUGAAAAUUGGUAUGUGUACUAAAUAUGUUAUCCAGUUUAAAUUAAGACGUUACUUGUCUUUGUGAGUUCGGAGAAGAUUUUUUAAGUUUUCACUAUAACAGAUAUAGAGAAAACCCAUCAGCCCCUGGGUGUGGCCAAUUUUGACCCCAGGGCCAUAAUUUGAACAAAUUUUGUAGAGGUCCACAAGACGAUGAAUCAUGCCAAAUAUCUAAGCUCUAAGCCACGUAAGUUCAGAGGAGAUGAUUUUUGAAGUUUUCACUAUAAACAUAUAGAGAAAACCCAUGACCCCCCAAGGGGGCGGGGCCAAUUUAGACCCCAAGGCCAUAAUUUGAACAAUCUUUGUAGAGGUCCACUAGACGAUGAAUCAUGCCAAAUAUCUAAGCUCUAGUCCAAGUAAGUUCAAAGGAGAAGAUUUUUGAAGUUUUAAUUAUAAACAUAUAUAGAAUACCCUAACCCCCCGGGGCGGGGCCAAUUUUGACCCCAAGGCCAUAAUUUGAACAAUCUUUGUAAAGGUCCACUAGACGAUGAAUCAUGCCAAAUAUCUAAGCUCUAGUCCAAGUAAGUUCA